ensembl:lncRNA
ACAGUGGCCUGGACCCCCAAGCUUGUCAAAGUCCAGACAUUGCCAAAUGCCCCUGGGGGGUCUAAAAAUAACCGCUGAUUGAGAAUGACUGGGACACAUAAAUACCAUCUCUAAUUGCAUUUGUGUGUAUGCUUGGGUUUUUGUCUUUUUGUUUUUUCUUUUCCUUGCCAGAUCUGAGUUACAGCACAUAAGAUGUUUUACUUAGAGCAGACAAACUCUUAGUUGUGGCAUGGGGUAUCCAGUUCCUGGAUCAAGGAUGGAACCGGGGCCCUCUGCGUUUAGAGCAUGGAGUCUUAGCCACGGGACCACCAGGCAAGCCCCUCUAAUCACAUUUGCUUGAUGUAACGGACAGUAAUGUGACCUGCUCUCCUUCAGCCUUCGCAGACUCUGAGCUGUAGCCGCUGGUCUUGUACACAGCGGGGUGACAUAGGUUGUCAGUUCUCAAAGCCACACAGCCUUGCCCUGUUCCUUCAGGGAAUCAGCAGCCGGCGGGGCCGCGGGGACAAGUGUGGUUCUACAGAUGGUGCCUGCCGUUCCUUCCGCCCCUGCCCUUACCUCCCUCGCCACCCCACCCCGGGUGUCUGCCACCUGCCAAGCAUCCACUUUCUCUUCCUCACCUCUGUGGAGCUCCUCUGGUCCUGACGAUGGCCUUGGAUAAAGGAACGUUGGCAGACGUGAUACAAUAGAGGCAGAGACAUGUGAGAAUAUUAGUGCAGAGUUUGGCUUGAUCUCUUGGGCUUUUGACUUUCAUCAUGAAAAGAACAUGUGCCAGAUAGCACUUACCCCAGGAUGGGGAGAUGCUCAGAGCAGACCAGGAGCCAAGUAUGCAGCAGUCAUCCCUGCUAAACCCCAGUUCAUGAAUGAGAAAGAAAUGUUUCUUGCGCCUGAAAACUCAAGCAUCUGUCUGGAACCAUCCGUGUUAUCAGGAAUGACAGAGCAAGAGAGAAACCACACUCUGCUGGCCACGGAGCCACCACACAGCCUCCCUGAAUUGCUUACUGCAGACUUCAUUCAUAAACCAACACAAUUCUGUGAAGCAAUUAUCCUUCAAUCAAAAAAGAAAUUAAAAAGAGAGAGAGAGAGAGAGAGAGGGCACUAAGCCCCAGAGGAACGGGAGCCACAAGGGAGCCUGAGGAAGAGGCUCUGAGAACAAGAACAGUGAGUGUGUUAAAGGGUGAAGACAGGAAAGCAGUUACAAUGGGAACCGAGACAGAAUAACGGCGUCAGCACAUGGACAGGGUGCAAGGAAGAUGACAAGUCAUGCAACUGGCCCAGCGGAGCUGUGCUGAGACACCAGAACUGCUGUGCAGCCCAAAACAACUUAUUGUUUUCUUUGCGGUCUGGCUGUGCAGCUGUGGAGGGGUCUUCCUGUCUCUCUUUUCUUCCUCUGUGCAUCCUUUCAAUGAAUUCCAUUACCCGGAACCCAAAUACAUCUGUUCUUUGAAAACUAGAAGAGGCUAAGAAAUCCACACUAUCCGAAAUAAAAUGAACACCCCAAUCAUACAUGCAUGUAUAAUGCUUUAGGUAUUCAGAAUAUUUUUACAAUUAAUAUAUCCCUUCAGCUCCUUUUAAUUUUAUUUUUAUUAUCCAAAUUAUAACAUAGUUUUCAAUUUUACAACUUCCAGCUAAUGUGCCUUCCAUUCUUCAUUAUGUCACUAAUUUGAUAACCAACAAAAUCUCUUCUAAUGUCUUAGUAAGUGAGUUUGUUUUGUAUAGCUAUUAAGGGGAAGAUAUUUCUUUAGCAAAAUAGUUAUUGUAUCUAACUUUAAAAUUAAAUAUUUGAGACAUGAACAAUUUAUAGUAGAAAGAAGUGGGGAGAUUUUAAAAACUGAAUACAUAAAUUCUAAAGCUCAAUAUAUAUUAAAUUCUCUAAUAUAUAUUAAAUUCUCUGGUUCAGUAAGAAAAAAGCCCUUAUGUCAAGUUUUCCUGUUUUCUGGAUACCUAUAGGAUGAAAUAAACAGUAUGUCUUCAUAGUAUAUAAAUUUUGAACUUCACUCUGACUUAUUUUAUGCAUGUGUGUGUGUGUGUCUGUGAGUGUGUGUUUGUGGUGUUCAGUCAUUCCGCCGUGUCCGACUCUUUUGUGACCCCAUGGACUAUAGCCUGCCAGGCUCCUCUGUCCGAGGAAUUUCCUAGGCAAGAAUACUGGAAUGUAUUGCCACUUCUUCCUUCAGAGGAUCCUCCCAGCCCAGGGGUUGGUCCUACCUCUCCUGUGUCCCUUGCAUUUGCAGACAGAUUCUUUACCACUGCGCCACUUGGGAAGCCCAAACUUUUUUAACAUUAGAAUAUAAUUUAACACAGUCUUUUACAAAUAAUGCAGUUAUUGAUUCUGUGAUCACUUUACAAUUUAUAUUAAAAAAUCCUCAGUGUGUAGGAAUGGGUGAUUGCAGUACAUUAGAUCACUAUGACUGUAACUGAAAUAUAUUUAAAAUUAUUUACUAACCUAGACAGCAUAUUUAAAAGCAGAGACAUUACUUUGCCAACAAANNNNNNNNNNNNNNNNNNNNNNNNNNNNNNNNNNNNNNNNNNNNNNNNNNNNNNNNNNNNNNNNNNNNNNNNNNNNNNNNNNNNNNNNNNNNNNNNNNNGAAAAAGUUGGCUUGAAAUUCAACAUUCAGAAAACUAAGAUCAUGGCAUCCAGUCCCAUCAAUUAAUGUUAAACAGAUUUGGAAACAGUAGAAACAGUGAGAUACUUUAUUUCCUUGGGCUCUAAAAUCACUGCAAAUGGUGAUUGCAGACAUGAAAUUUAAAGAUGCUUGCUCCUUUGAAGAAAAGCUAAGACCAAUCUAGACAGCAUAUGUUCUGUCUAGACAGCACAAUAUUCU